rnacentral:tRNA from 2 species
GGAGAGAUGUCCGAGCGGUCGAAGGAGCACGUCUGGAAAGCGUGUAUACGCGUAAGCGUAUCGAGGGUUCGAAUCCCUCUCUCUCCGCCA